rnacentral:rRNA from 1 species
UUAAGCGACUAAGCGUACACGGUGGAUGCCCUGGCAGUCAGAGGCGAUGAAGGACGUGCUAAUCUGCGAUAAGCGUCGGUGAGGUGAUAUGAACCGUUAUAACCGGCGAUUUCCGAAUGGGGAAACCCAGUGUGUUUCGACACACUAUCAUUAACUGAAUCCAUAGGUUAAUGAGGCGAACCGGGGGAACUGAAACAUCUAAGUACCCCGAGGAAAAGAAAUCAACCGAGAUUCCCCCCAGUAGCGGCGAGCGAACGGGGAGGAGCCCAGAGCCUGAAUCAGUGUGUGUGUUAGUGGAAGCGUCUGGAAAGGCGUGCGAUACAGGGUGACAGCCCCGUACACAAAAAUGCACAUAUUGUGAGCUCGAUGAGUAGGGCGGGACACGUGGUAUCCUGUCUGAAUAUGGGGGGGACCAUCCUCCAAGGCUAAAUACUCCUGACUGACCGAUAGUGAACCAGUACCGUGAGGGAAAGGCGAAAAGAACCCCGGCGAGGGGAGUGAAAAAGAACCUGAAACCGUGUACGUACAAGCAGUGGGAGCCUCUUAAUGGGGUGACUGCGUACCUUUUGUAUAAUGGGUCAGCGACUUAUAUUCUGUAGCAAGGUUAACCGAAUAGGGGAGCCGAAGGGAAACCGAGUCUUAACUGGGCGUUAAGUUGCAGGGUAUAGACCCGAAACCCGGUGAUCUAGCCAUGGGCAGGUUGAAGGUUGGGUAACACUAACUGGAGGACCGAACCGACUAAUGUUGAAAAAUUAGCGGAUGACUUGUGGCUGGGGGUGAAAGGCCAAUCAAACCGGGAGAUAGCUGGUUCUCCCCGAAAGCUAUUUAGGUAGCGCCUCGUGAAUUCAUCUCCGGGGUAGAGCACUGUUUCGGCAAGGGGGUCAUCCCGACUUACCAACCCGAUGCAAACUGCGAAUACCGGAGAAUGUUAUCACGGGAGACACACGGCGGGUGCUAACGUCCGUCGUGAAGAGGGAAACAACCCAGACCGCCAGCUAAGGUCCCAAAGUCAUGGUUAAGUGGGAAACGAUGUGGGAAGGCCCAGACAGCCAGGAUGUUGGCUUAGAAGCAGCCAUCAUUUAAAGAAAGCGUAAUAGCUCACUGGUCGAGUCGGCCUGCGCGGAAGAUGUAACGGGGCUAAACCAUGCACCGAAGCUGCGGCAGCGACACUAUGUGUUGUUGGGUAGGGGAGCGUUCUGUAAGCCUGUGAAGGUGGCCUGUGAGGGUUGCUGGAGGUAUCAGAAGUGCGAAUGCUGACAUAAGUAACGAUAAAGCGGGUGAAAAGCCCGCUCGCCGGAAGACCAAGGGUUCCUGUCCAACGUUAAUCGGGGCAGGGUGAGUCGACCCCUAAGGCGAGGCCGAAAGGCGUAGUCGAUGGGAAACAGGUUAAUAUUCCUGUACUUGGUGUUACUGCGAAGGGGGGACGGAGAAGGCUAUGUUGGCCGGGCGACGGUUGUCCCGGUUUAAGCGUGUAGGCUGGUUUUCCAGGCAAAUCCGGAAAACCAAGGCUGAGGCGUGAUGACGAGGCACUACGGUGCUGAAGCGACAAAUGCCCUGCUUCCGGGGAAAAGCCUCUAAGCAUCAGGUAACAUCAAAUCGUACCCCAAACCGACACAGGUGGUCAGGUAGAGAAUACCAAGGCGCUUGAGAGAACUCGGGUGAAGGAACUAGGCAAAAUGGUGCCGUAACUUCGGGAGAAGGCACGCUGAUAUGUAGGUGAAGCGACUUGCUCGUGGAGCUGAAAUCAGUCGAAGAUACCAGCUGGCUGCAACUGUUUAUUAAAAACACAGCACUGUGCAAACACGAAAGUGGACGUAUACGGUGUGACGCCUGCCCGGUGCCGGAAGGUUAAUUGAUGGGGUUAGCGGUAACGCGAAGCUCUUGAUCGAAGCCCCGGUAAACGGCGGCCGUAACUAUAACGGUCCUAAGGUAGCGAAAUUCCUUGUCGGGUAAGUUCCGACCUGCACGAAUGGCGUAAUGAUGGCCAGGCUGUCUCCACCCGAGACUCAGUGAAAUUGAACUCGCUGUGAAGAUGCAGUGUACCCGCGGCAAGACGGAAAGACCCCGUGAACCUUUACUAUAGCUUGACACUGAACAUUGAGCCUUGAUGUGUAGGAUAGGUGGGAGGCUUUGAAGUGUGGACGCCAGUCUGCAUGGAGCCGACCUUGAAAUACCACCCUUUAAUGUUUGAUGUUCUAACGUUGGCCCGUAAUCCGGGUUGCGGACAGUGUCUGGUGGGUAGUUUGACUGGGGCGGUCUCCUCCUAAAGAGUAACGGAGGAGCACGAAGGUUGGCUAAUCCUGGUCGGACAUCAGGAGGUUAGUGCAAUGGCAUAAGCCAGCUUGACUGCGAGCGUGACGGCGCGAGCAGGUGCGAAAGCAGGUCAUAGUGAUCCGGUGGUUCUGAAUGGAAGGGCCAUCGCUCAACGGAUAAAAGGUACUCCGGGGAUAACAGGCUGAUACCGCCCAAGAGUUCAUAUCGACGGCGGUGUUUGGCACCUCGAUGUCGGCUCAUCACAUCCUGGGGCUGAAGUAGGUCCCAAGGGUAUGGCUGUUCGCCAUUUAAAGUGGUACGCGAGCUGGGUUUAGAACGUCGUGAGACAGUUCGGUCCCUAUCUGCCGUGGGCGCUGGAGAACUGAGGGGGGCUGCUCCUAGUACGAGAGGACCGGAGUGGACGCAUCACUGGUGUUCGGGUUGUCAUGCCAAUGGCACUGCCCGGUAGCUAAAUGCGGAAGAGAUAAGUGCUGAAAGCAUCUAAGCACGAAACUUGCCCCCGAGAUGAGUUCUCCCUGAGACUUAGAGUCUCCUGAAGGAACGUUGAAGACGACGACGUUGAUAGGCCGGGUGUGUAAGCGCAGCGAUGCGUUGAGCUAACCGGUACUAAUGAACCGUGAGGCUUAACCU